CGCUGACCGCUUGCUGCCGCCGGGUGCUGCGCCGCCGGCCGCCGUCGCUCCCGCCAGCACGACGCCGUAGCGCCGCUGACGAGCGUCGCGCGCCUGCACCGCCGUCGUGUUCACUCCGUGCCAGCCACUGAGAAGAAGCAAGCACCAAUCCGCUGGCUGAAGAAGCCAGCGCAGGAAGAAGGAAGCCAGGAAGAAAAGAAAAGAGAAGAGAAAAGAAAAAGAGAAAAGAAAAAAAAGGGGAAAAGGGGAAAAGUUGGAAAUUUCGGAUUUUCGUCGGAUUCGUCGUCAAUCCUUCGAAGGUGGUACUAUUUCCGGGCAUUCUUGAUCGAAUUUUCUUCAUCGUCGGUAAAGGCAAGUGAAUGUAUUGUAUGACUAUGCUUUAACCUAAUAUUGGGUUGCCUACAUUCUUUAAUUACAGUGCAUUCAUCUAAUCUGAAUGACUGAUUCUGAGCUGGGUACUAUGUUGUUUACGUUUCCAGAAGUUUACUCGAUGAUUGAUUUAUGAAGUGCAGUAGGCACGAUAUGCCAUUCUGCAGUUGUUCAUUAGUGUUGUAUGCAAUGUUUUUUUGAAGUCUCAAGCAUAUUCCGGAAGUUAUGUUGGUUAUGCUUGAAGCACGUCAUACAUAUACAUCUCAUGCAUUGGAAGUUUGUCGUCGUCUUCUGGCCGCGACCGUACCGGUACAGUACCGUAUGUCACCCGAGGAGGGAUACGGUGCACACCCUUACGUUACCCGAGGAGGGGUAAGGGUGAGGAGAGCAUAUCAUGUGCACACCCUUACGUUACCCGAGGAGGGGUAAGGGUGAGGAGAGCAUAUCAUAUACAUGACCCUUACGUUACCCGUGGAGGGGUAAAGGUAUGUUUGGAUGUUGACGUGCAUUUUGGGGAUGGAUCUCGGUAGCUGCACACACUAACUUAUCACGAUGUCGAUAGCUCAACCGGUGUAUACAAGUGGUGUGUCUGAUGGUCCGUCAUUUGUUUUUGUUUAUGUUGUGGUAUGACGCUGGUAGCGUCGUGGUGGACUCUAUAUAUAUGCUGGUUAUAUCUGUUUCUGCCUGCCUGUGAUAUUUCUUUUGGUCAGUUAUACCUCUCUAUAGAGGAAAUACUGCCAAAAUUUCCUAUUUUUUUCAAAUAAAUAGGCUUGGUUGUAAA